UCUCCGUAGGUGAACCUGCGGAGGGAUCAUUACAGAGUUCAUGCCCUACCGGGUAGAUCUCCCACCCUAUGUUAUUAUUACUUUGUUGCUUUUGCGGGCCGUUAGGCUCCGGCCCGACUACCGGCCCCGGCUGGUAAGCGCCCGCCAGAGGACCCUAAACCCUGAAUAUUAGUGUCGUCUGAGUACUAUAUAAUAGUUAAAACUUUCAACAACGGAUCUCUUGGUUCUG
rnacentral:misc_RNA from 1 species